rnacentral:rRNA from 1 species
UACGUAGGGCGCGAGCGUUGUCCGGAAUUAUUGGGCGUAAAGAGCUCGUAGGUGGCUUGUUGCGUCUGCCGUGAAAGCCCGUGGCUUAACUACGGGUCUGCGGUGGAUACGGGCAGGCUAGAGGCUGGUAGGGGCAAGCGGAAUUCCUGGUGUAGCGGUGAAAUGCGCAGAUAUCAGGAGGAACACCGGUGGCGAAGGCGGCUUGCUGGGCCAGUUCUGACGCUGAGGGGCGAAAGCGUGGGGAGCGAACAGG